AACGAACGCUGGCGGCAUGCCUAACACAUGCAAGUCGAACGAGACCUUCGGGUCUAGUGGCGCACGGGAGCGUAACGCGUGAGAACCUGCUAUUAGGUUCGGAAUAACUCCCCGAAAGGGGUGCUAAUACCGGAUACUGUCUUCGGACCAACGAUUUAUCGCCUUUGGAUGUGCCCGCGUUGGAUUAGCUAGUUGGUAGGGUAAAAGACUACCAAGGCGAUGAGCAGUAGCUGGUCUGCGAGGAUGAUAGGCCACCUUGGGACUGAGACACGGCCCAGUGUACUACGGGAGGCAGAAGUGGGGAAUCUACAGAAAGGGACGAAAGUCUGACGGAGCAAAGCCGCGUGAGUGAUGACGGCCUUCGUGUUGUAAAGUUCGGUUAAGCGGGACGAAAGGACUUCUUGCGAAUAGUUAGAAGGAUUGACGGUACCGGAAUAGAAAGCCACGGCUAACUACGUG
rnacentral:rRNA from 1 species